CAGUUCGUAUUGUAGUCUGCAACCCGACUACAUGAAGCCGGAAUCGCUAGUAAUCGCGGAUCAGAAUGCCGCGGUGAAUACGUUCCCGGGUCUUGUACACACCGCCCGUCACACCAUGGGAGUCGGAAAUGCCCGAAGCCGGUGACCCAACCCGAAAGGGAGGGAGCCGUCGAAGGCAGGUCGGAUGACUGGGGUGAAGUCGUAACAAGGUACC
rnacentral:rRNA from 1 species